rnacentral:ncRNA from 1 species
UCCUGCGCACGGGGCAUACUCCACUUCUUAUUUCCCGUGACGCUUAAAAGGAGGGAUACCCAUCCGCAAGGCUUGCGGUGCAGCAGUGUGGAGACCUGCUGUAAUGCGACCGUUCUUCAUUCGGACGGUUGUGAAUCGGGCGAUGAGCGAACGCUGCGCCUGAUGAAGCCAAAACACUAUGGCA